rnacentral:rRNA from 1 species
AUAGCGUAUAUUAAAGUUGUUGCAGUUAAAAAGCUCGUAGUUGGAUUUGUGGUGACAGUUGUGGUCCAUUUUUGGUACUAACGAUUGUUGCCAUCCUUGGGUGGAACCUGUGUGGCAUUAACUUGUCGUGCAGGGGAUGCCCAUCGUUUACUGUGAAAAAAUCAGCGCGUUCAAAGCAGGCUUAUGCCGUUGAAUGUCUUAGCAUGGAAUAAUAAGAUAGGACCUUGGUGCUAUUUUGUUGGUUUGCGUACCGAGGUAAUGAUUAAUAGGGACAGUUGGGGGUAUUCGUAUUCCAUUGUCAGAGGUGAAAUUCUUGGAUUUCUGGAAGACGAACUACUGCGAAAGCAUUUACCAAGGAUGUUUUCAUUAAUCAAGAACGAAAGUUAGGGGAUCGAAGAUGAUUAGAUACCAUCGUAGUCUUAACCAUAAACUAUGCCGACAAGGGAUUGGUGGGGUUUCGUUACGUCUCCAUCAGCACCUUAUGAGAAAUCACAAGUUUUUGGGUUCCGGGGGGAGUAUGGUCGCAAGG